AGAUUGAACGCUGGCGGCGUGCCUAACACAUGCAAGUCGAGCGGUAACAGGUGUAGCAAUACAUGCUGACGAGCGGCGAACGGGUGAGUAAUGCUUUGGAAUCUUCCCAGUAGUGGGGAAUAACCAGUCGAAAGAUUGGCUAAUACCGCAUACGUCUGUAAAGGGAAAGCGGGGGCUCGUAAGACCUCGCGCUAUUGGAUGAGCCAAAGUCGGAUUAGCUAGUUGGUGGGGUAAUGGCCUACCAAGGCGACAAUCCGUAGCUGGUCUGAGAGGACGACCAGCCACACCGGAACUGAGACACGGUCCGGACUCCUACGGGAGGCAGCAGUGGGGAAUAUUGGACAAUGGGGGAAACCCUGAUCCAGCGACGCCGCGUGUGUGAAGAAGGCCUGCGGGUUGUAAAGCACUUUUUAGUGGGACAAAAAGCUACGGACUAAUAUUCUGUGGUCUUGAUUUAACCCAAAGAAAAGCAACCGGCUAACUCUGUGCCAGCAGCCGC
rnacentral:rRNA from 1 species